rnacentral:lncRNA from 1 species
UGCCGGGGCGUCCCACGGCCCGCCGGGCACCGGCCCUGCCGGAGCGUCCCACGGCCCGCCGGGCACCGGCCCUGCCGGAGCGUCCCACGGCCCGCCGGGCACCGGCCCUGCCGGAGCGUCCCACGGCCCGCCGGGCACCGGCCCUGCCGGAGCGUCCCACGGCCCGCCGGGCACCGGCCCUGCCGGAGCGUCCCACGGCCCGCCGGGCACCGGCCCUGCCGGAGCGUCCCACGGCCCGCCGGGCACCGGCCCUGCCGGAGCGUCCCACGGCCCGCCGGGCACCGGCCCUGCCGGAGCGUCCCACGGCCCGCCGGACACCGGCCCUGCCCGGGCGUCCCACGGCCCGCCGGGCACCGGCCCUCCCGGAGCGUCCCACGGCCCGCCGGGCCGGGACAGCGGCUCCCCACAGCCCGGCCGGGACAGCGGCUCCCCACAGCCCGGCCGGGACAGCGGCUCCCCACAGGGGCCGGGACAGCGGAUCCCCACAGCCCGGCCGGGCAGGUACAGCAGCUCCCCACAGCCUCGCCGGGCAGGUACAGCAGCUCCCCGCCACGAUUCCCUCCCUCUCUACCCCCUUUCUUUACCCUCCCCCUCCCUCCCUUCUUCUUCCUUCCCAAAUGGGCAGAGAAGGGAGGCAAGUCACGAACCCUCCCUGAAAGUGCAGAUUGGUGAUGGCGGGAAAUGGAUUUGUAGGGAGUUCUCAAAGCCUGACAGAAGGCUCACGCACUGUGCAUCUCUAUGCAACCUGGAGAUAAGAAAUGCUGACUUAGAAAUGCCGCGGAAUAGGAAGGACAACUGUUGAGAGAGAAUUAGAACUAGAAAUAAGUUUCAAAUGAUGGCCUUGCAAAUAAGACUAGAUACUUUGGAGAAUUAGAGCUAUCAAAGAUGCAUUGUGUUAGGACCCGCAAGAGGUAAUUUUAGAUGAUUAGAUGAUUUAAGGCAUUUACAACAUGGCGUAGCUAAAGCUGGUAGGCCAGGAAACGUUUAUAUUGUAUUGUAAUUAGGAAAUAAUUGUCUUCUAAUUGUGAUGGCGUGAAUUAUAACAUCUGUAUUGUCUCACCCUUCACAUGAGGCUAAUAAUAGAAUAAAUGUUUUAAAAU